GUUUUGCAGGGGUCGACUCAUUGACUGUGCCACUUGAAGAAAAUGUGCCAGAGUCAACUCAAACUUGUCCUUUUUGCUUAGGGAUCGACUCAAGUAUCUCAAACAAAAAUCUUUAGACAUCAUUUUUGAUCUCCAUGGAUUGGAUUAAGAUCAUUCUCCUUUUAGAACAUAUCCAAUAAAGUGUUUAUGAAGAAUUAAGGAUAAGGAUUUUGCAGUGCUUCAUUUUUUCUAAUUUUUCUUGACUUAUAGAACUUCACAAUUAAGCCAACAUCAUCAGUAUACUUUAUUAACUCAAGUGUUUUGUAAUCAUCAAAAUUCAACCAGUUUUCACAGGCUCACCGACUAGAACCAACCCGAUUAUUUUUCCGGGCUCA
rnacentral:lncRNA from 1 species